GUAGGGAAUCUUCCACAAUGGACGAAAGUCUGAUGGAGCAACGCCGCGUGAGUGAUGAAGGUUUUCGGAUCGUAAAACUCUGUUGUAAGGGAAGAACACGUACGAGAGGGAAUGCUCGUACCUUGACGGUACCUUACGAGAAAGCCACGGCUAACUACGUGCCAGCAGCCGCGGUAAUACGUAGGUGGCAAGCGUUGUCCGGAAUUAUUGGGCGUAAAGCGCGCGCAGGCGGCCUUUUAAGUCUGAUGUGAAAGCCCCCGGCUCAACCGGGGAGGGCCAUUGGAAACUGGAAGGCUUGAGUACAGAAGAGAAGAGUGGAAUUCCACGUGUAGCGGUGAAAUGCGUAGAGAUGUGGAGGAACACCAGUGGCGAAGGCGACUCUUUGGUCUGUAACUGACGCUGAGGCGCGAAAGCGUGGGGAGCAAACAGGAUUAGAUACCCUUGUAGUCC
rnacentral:rRNA from 1 species